UUCCAGAAGCUGUUUUGCAGAGGCGCAGUUGCUCCGUUGGGUGCUUAGCACCGCCCGUGAUGAUUGUGAUUUGUUUAAAGAAAUGGAAAUAAACCAGAGC